CCUACGGGAGGCAGCAGUGGGGAAUAUUGGGCAAUGGGCGAAAGCCUGACGCAGCAACGCCGCGUGAAGGAAGAAGGCUUUCGGGUUGUAAACUUCUUUUAUCAGGGACGAAGCAUGAGACGGUCUAAGGAGCAUAAGACAGCGAAAUACGUGCCAGAGGCCGCGGUGAUACGUAGGUGGCAAGCGUGGUACGGAGUUACUGGGUGUAAAGGGGGCGUAGGCGGGAAGGCAAGUCAGAUGUGAAAACUACGGGCUUAACUCGUAGACUGCAUUUGAGAAUGGAUUUCUUGAGUGCGGUGGAGGCAAGCGGAAUUCCGAGUGUAGCGGUGAAAUGCGUAGAUAUUCGGAGGAACACCGGUGGCGAAGGCGG
rnacentral:rRNA from 1 species